rnacentral:rRNA from 1 species
UACGUAGGUGGCGAGCGUUGUCCGGAUUUACUGGGCGUAAAGGGAGCGUAGGCGGACUUUUAAGUGAGAUGUGAAAUACUCGGGCUCAACUUGAGUGCUGCAUUUCAAACUGGAAGACUAGAGUGCAGGAGAGGAGAAUGGAAUUCCUAGUGUAGCGGUGAAAUGCGUAGAGAUUAGGAAGAACACCAGUGGCGAAGGCGAUUCUCUGGACUGUAACUGACGCUGAGGCUCGAAAGCGUGGGGAGCAAACAGG